rnacentral:rRNA from 1 species
CAGCAGCAGCCACGGUAAUACGAAGGGUGCAAGCGUUACUCGGAAUUACUGGGCGUAAUGCGUGCGUAGGUGGUGGUUUAAGUCCGUUGUGAAAGCCCUGGGCUCAACCUGGGAAUUGCAGUGGAUACUAGGUCACUAGAGUGUGGUAGAGGAUAGUGGAAUUUCCGGUGUAGCAGUGAAAUGCGUAGAGAUCGGAAGGAACAUCUGUGGCGAAGGCGACUAUCUGGGCCAACACUGACACUGAGGCACGAAAGCGUGGGGAGCAAACAGGAUUAGAGACCCGCGUAGUCCCUGUCUCUUAUAC